AGAAUCUGAAAAGAAAUGGCAAUGAGCAGAGGUCUCCCACCCUCACGUGGAGGACAGGGUCCGCAAAGAUGAGUCACAUUGUAGAACUUCACUAUUCAGAGAAAGCCCCUUCACAUGCAGAAUCUCGCUGGUCUCUCAGGACAAUCCUGUGAGAGACGGGGUCUCAUUAUGUUGCCCGAGGCUUCAGUAUCUUUUCCAAAGCAACAUGAAAGAAAUGUGACCGUAAAUCAAUCAGCUUCUUGGUGUGAUCUAUGUGACGGCUAGGUGAUAAACGAGUUGGUCAGAGAAAACUGGAAAUAUUUCCAAAGCCAUGUUUACUCCCUUCACCCACCUGUGAGUCUUCGCCUUGGCUGUUUCCGACUCGGAAUGUCCUCGCAUUGAUCCUCCCAAUCACAGCCAGCUGAAACCAGCCUCCUUCCUGACGUAUUCAGUAACUUUAGCUGAUUGCCAUCUCUCCUUCAUCUCAACAACCUGUACCACACUCACUGGAGCACUUCGCUUUGCAUCUUUAGUCGACCAGUUCAGAUAUAUACAACCUAUAAGACCCUGCACUGAUGGAUCCGCUGGUGCCACCCAGAUCAAUAAACUGGCUCAUCUGAUCUUGUGGCCCCCAUCCAGGAACCAACUCAGAGCAAGAAGACAGCUUCAACUCCCUAUGCCUUCAUCUCUGAUACGACCUGUCAACACGCCCCACUCCCUGGCCCCCUACCUGCCAAAUUAUCCUUAAAAAAACUCCCAUCCCUAAAUUUUCCGGGAGAAUGAUUUGAGUAGUUAACUCUGGUCUCUCGUUCUGGCUCUGCAUGAAUUAAACUCUUUCUCUAUUGCAA
rnacentral:lncRNA from 1 species